rnacentral:rRNA from 2 species
UACGAAGGGGGCAAGCGUUGUUCGGAUUUACUGGGCGUAAAGGGCGCGCAGGCGGCUCUUCAAGUCAGAUGUGAAAGCCCCGGGCUCAACCUGGGAACUGCAUUUGAGACUGAAGAACUCGAGUUCGGGAGAGGAUGGCGGAAUUCCCAGUGUAGAGGUGAAAUUCGUAGAUAUUGGGAAGAACACCGGUGGCGAAGGCGGCCAUCUGGACCGAGACUGACGCUGAGGCGCGAAAGCGUGGGGAGCAAAC